rnacentral:tRNA from 4 species
GGGCGGAUGUAGCCAAGUGGAUUAAGGCAG